GCCCCUGUGACGCAGUGGUUUAGCGUGCCGUUCUUAUACUCUCUUUGGGGUCCUCCGAAGCUUGUAUGACUGAAAUGCGGAAGCCGUGAGUUCGAUCCUCACCAGGGGCA